CAAAUACUCCCUCCAUCCGGAAAUACUUGUCAUAAAAAUGGAUAAAAGGAAAUGUAUCUAGACGUAUUUUAGUUUUAGAUACAUCUCUUUUUAUCCAUUUUGAUGACAAGUAUUUUCGGACGGAGGGAGUAGAAA
rnacentral:pre_miRNA from 1 species